CCUACGGGGGGCUGCAGUGGGGAAUUUUGGACAAUGGGCGCAAGCCUGAUCCAGCCAUGCCGCGUGAGUGAAGAAGGCCUUCGGGUUGUAAAGCUCUUUCGCAAGGGAAGAAAACGUGUGGGCUAAUAUCCUGCGCGGAUGACGGUACCUUGACAAGAAGCACCGGCUAACUACGUGCCAGCAGCCGCGGUAAUACGUAGGGUGCGAGCGUUAAUCGGAAUUACUGGGCGUAAAGCGUGCGCAGGCGGUUGUGUAAGACAGGUGUGAAAUCCCCGGGCUUAACCUGGGAACUGCGCUUGUGACUGCACGGCUAGAGUACGGCAGAGGGGGGUGGAAUUCCUGGUGUAGCAGUGAAAUGCGUAGAUAUCAGGAGGAACACCGAUGGCGAAGGCAGCCCCCUGGGCCUGUACUGACGCUCAUGCACGAAAGCGUGGGGAGCAAACAGGAUUAGAUACCCUGGUAGUC
rnacentral:rRNA from 1 species